UGAUAUAUAAGGUGUCAGUCCGUGACGUAACACGUGUCAGUCCGUGACGUAACACGUGUCAGUCCGUGAUAUUUAACGUGUCAGUCAAUUAUAUAUAAGGUGUCAAUCCAUAUAUAUAAUUUGUCAGUCCAUGAUAUAUACUUAAAGGGGAGUGGUCACUUAUUUAUAUCUCACACCUUGGAAUAAAAUAUUGAAGAUAAUUUAUAGCUUGUAUUGACCUUUUUCACAAGAUGCUCUAUUUUGUUUUAAAUAUAUAUAUUAAAGAUUUAGCAAAUUUAUAUUAUAAUCCAGUUCAAGUAAGGCAAAGCUCCACUCCUGAAGCUCCUUUGUGUCUCAUCAGCCCAGCCCCUUCAUGUGUCUCCUUCCAGCUCUUCCAUGUGU